AGCUUACAUAACUAAGGCUGCAACAAUCUAUUAAAGUCUUUGGAAUUUAUUUAUAAUUAAGGAGGUGCACUACAAUGGCAGGAGAUAUCAUUAGUACUAUCUUAGAUUUCGUUAAACUUAUUGCAGAAACAGUUAAAAAAUUCACUAAUAAAUAAUAGUAUUUUUUAAGUGCUGUUAUUAUCUUUUUCCUUACUUAGGCUGAAAUAAAAAGUAAAAGUUAGGUUUCUAUUUAAGAAGCCAUUGUAGCAAUAUUAAUAAUCGGUAAAUUCACUAAAUUUUUUCAUAAUUAAUAACAUCCCCAAUUAAUUGAAUAGAAUAACUGUAAAUUAAACAUUCCCUUAAUAUGGAUAAAACAGGCGAGUCCCUCCCAAACUCGCCUGUUU
rfam:Staphylococcus sp. HGB0015 genomic scaffold aczIz-supercont1.1, whole genome shotgun sequence.